AGAGCGAACGCUAGCGGCAAGCUUAACACAUGCAAGUCGAACGAAGCCUUCGGGCUUAGUGGCGCACGGGUGCGUAACGCGUGGGAAUCUGCCCCUCGGUUCGGAAUAACAGUUGGAAACGACUGCUAAUACCGGAUGAUGACGUAAGUCCAAAGAUUUAUCGCCGAGGGAUGAGCCCGCGUAGGAUUAGCUAGUUGGUGAGGUAAAGGCUCACCAAGGCGACGAUCCUUAGCUGGUCUGAGAGGAUGAUCAGCCACACUGGGACUGAGACACGGCCCAGACUCCUACGGGAGGCAGCAGUGGGGAAUAUGGACAAUGGGCGAAAGCCUGAUCCAGCAAUGCCGCGUGAGUGAUGAAGGCCCGUCGGGUCGUAAAGGCUUCUUUACCAGGGAUGAUAAUGAACAGUACCUGGAGAAUAAGCUCCGGCUAACUCCGUGCCAGCAGCCG
rnacentral:rRNA from 1 species